UACGGGGGGGGCAAGCGUUGUUCGGAAUUACUGGGCGUAAAGGGCUCGUAGGCGGCCAACUAAGUCAGACGUGAAAUCCCUCGGCUUAACCGGGGAACUGCGUCUGAUACUGGAUGGCUUGAGGUUGGGAGAGGGAUGCGGAAUUCCAGGUGUAGCGGUGAAAUGCGUAGAUAUCUGGAGGAACACCGGUGGCGAAGGCGGCAUCCUGGACCAAUUCUGACGCUGAGGAGCGGAAA
rnacentral:rRNA from 1 species